AGCGGAGCGGGGGAAGGAGCGCUCUGCUCGGAGCGCUGAGCACCUGUGGGCGUGACCGCCGGCCCCCUCCUCCUCCUCCCGCUUCCCUUUACUUGAAGGGCCGGCGCUGCUGGAGCGGCAGAGCCUGAGCGCGGAGCGGGCGGCGCACGGAGAGGAGCGGACCCGCUGCCCACCCCCCGUAUAAAGUGUCCCGGCCGCCUCCGCCCCGUCGAGCCGCAGGACCGGCCGGGAGGGGAGCUCAGGCUGGACAGGCCGUGGGGGGCCGGGGCUGUGCUCGCCCUGCGGGCGCCGGGCCGGGGCGCGGAUCGCCCUCUCUGCGCGGAGCUGCCCGGCGGAGCCCUCCCGGCUGGCGGUGCCGCCGGGCUGCCCUCGCCCCUCGGUGGCCCCCGCGGCCAUGCUGGCCCGGGCUGGGGGGCGGCGGCGCCCUGAGCGGGGCUAGAGCCGCGGGCGGGCGGGGGAGGCGCCGCGUUAGCCCCGCCGGGGCCGCGCUCCGCCUGGGGGGGCUGCCCCGGGAGGGGAGCACGGCAAGGACAGCGAGCGGAGCAACUUCUGCAAAUUGAAAACAGGAGGGAAAUAAAUAAAAAAAAAGAGGCUCGUUCGUGGGACAUCUUCGAAGCUCAGUAUCACGCGAGGCAUCCAAACCGCAGUGAGCCCUCCAUGCUAGUGAAUCCCAGCACAGUGACCGGAGCGAGGCUGGCUGUGGCCACUGCUCCCGAGCCCCGCGUGCAUUAGAGUCGCAUUGGCUUUCCGGCUGGAAGAUGAUUCCUGCAACAGGACCAUGUUGCUGAUGAUGAGCAGCAGAGUCGCUGGAAGAUGCCUGCCUUGAGGAUUACACGUGGAGCAAGGCCAUCAGUCAAGGGGAGAGCUGGCUGCUGAGACUGACUGACUUUCCCCCCGCCGGGGAAGUGGCUUCAAUGGCUCCAUCUCCCAGGAGAAGCAGUAGGAAAGAUGCCAGCGCCUUGCCAAGCAUGUCCUCAACUUUCUGGGCUAUCAUGAUCCUGGCUAGUCUCCUAAUCGCUUACUGCAAUUAUAACAGCUAUUUUGGAGCGGAUAACCCUCAAUGGCUGUAUAUGAGACAUUGCCCGGGGUGCCUCCAAGAUGCUUUUGAGCUGGGUCAGCUGGCUGCAGGUACAUGUGAGAUUGUUACAUUGGACAGAGAUAGCAGUCAGCCCCGAAGGACUAUAGCCCGACAAACAGCUCGCUGUGCAUGUAAAAAAGGACAGAUUGCCGGUACAACACGAGCAAGGCCAGCGUGUGUUGAUGCACGAAUUAUCAAAACAAAACAGUGGUGUGAAAUGCUUCCAUGUUUAGAAGGAGAAGGCUGUGAUUUGCUAAUCAAUAAAUCAGGCUGGACCUGUACACAACCAGGAGGACGGAUAAAGACAACCACGACUGAAGAUCAGCUGGACAUAUCCUGAGGCCAUGGUCUAGUGAUCUGAGCUUGGGAACUGGGAGCCAGAAACUCUUGAGCUCUAAUCCUGGCUCUGACAGUGACUCCCUCUGUGGCCUUGGCCUGUCUGAGGCCAUGUGGUUUGGAGAUCUGAUCACUAGUCCGAAAAGAAAAGGCUGUUUGCAAGAUUUCUGGGGUGUUUUUUCCUGGAAAAGGUCUCCUGACAAAUGCAGCAACACAGAAUCCUCGUAGGAGUGGUUUAGGCUCUCUGUGAGCUACUUAACUUAGUCAAGUUUCACUGCUGUUGAUCAUCAUCUGUUAUAUGUCAUCAACUCAACUGUCUGUUUCUCUGUAUCUCAUAAAUGACAGCAUAAUUCCUCUGCAUUAUGAGCUAAAGUUUGUUCUACCAUUCUAAGGAUCACUGGACUAAGGAAUAUAGAAAAAGAGAUAUGCUUGGGCAUUAGCAAUACAAAAAAGUUCAUGGUUAACGUUUCAUCUACGUUAUACACCACUGCUGGACUUGCUGUUACCUACAUGUUUCAAUCUGAAGAGUCUGCUACAAUGAAGAGUAUCAUCCCAAUCAGCCUUAGAGAAGACUGUUUUGCCUAUGGGAGGACACUGAGGUGCAAAAGAGAAACUCUUCUUGUGCCCUAAACUGUCUGAAUUGCUUUUAUUUUCUUAUACUUUCAGUAUUUACAAUAGACCAAAGAGCAAAAUCUAUUUUAAAGUGGACACAAUCUUACUCUUAAGAGAGUUAUGUCAUUAAAUUGAAGGAGGUCUCCACAAAGACAUUAUUCCAGCUUUCACAAAGCUGAAAUGUUGUCCAGCAGAAGUCUUUAUGGAAAGCUGAAUUAAAAACUAACUCAGAGACCUGCUCUUGAAAUGCCAUGUUCAAGAGAAUGUAAUGGAGCACUGAGAGAAAAUGACCUGUUUGAAAAACGUGGACAAAAAGAAAACACAGACUGUCUACACAGCACCUUUAUUCCUCUGUACUUAGAUUGACUUUCUCGUACUAAAAUCAUUUUCCGUUUUAACCAGUUAAACAUGCCUCUUCUACAGUUCCAUUUUUGAUAGUUAAAGUUGGAUAAUACAGUAUUUGCAAAGAGCAUGUUUGGUCAUCUGUGGCCUAUGUCUCAUCUGAUACACCAUUUAGCACCAGAAAGCAAAUUAAAGAGAAAACAAAAGUAACACUUGUUUGAAAGAGAUCAUUAAAUGUAUUUUGAAAAGCCUAAAGUUAUAUAUUUAACAGUUUUUAUAUGUUGUAUAUUUGUAGAAAAUCCUAUUUAACAAUUAACGUGAUAACUCUGACAGUCAUGAAAAGUGGUUCAGAGUUAAGUUGUGUUUUAUUACUUCAGUUGUCUCUGAAGUGACCGGUGUCGUUUGCUUUCUUCCAUUGGGACAUUCUGGAUGUAAAGCAUGACCAGAGAGGACUGUGUAGAAAAAGCAAAGAAUAAUGUUGUUUAUAUUACAUAAAUGCAUUCAACCAUUGCA